rnacentral:rRNA from 1 species
CAGCACCUCAAGUGGUCAGGAUGAUUAUUGGGCCUAAAGCAUCCGUAGCCGGCGCUGUAAGUUUUCGGUUAAAUCUGUACGCUCAACGUACAGGCUGCCGGGAAUACUGCAGCGCUAGGGAGUGGGAGAGGUAGACGGUACUCGGUAGGAAGGGGUAAAAUCCUUUGAUCUAUUGAUGACCACCUGUGGCGAAGGCGGUCUACCAGAACACGUCCGACGGUGAGGGAUGAAAGCUGGGGUAGCGAACCGGAUUAGAUACCCGAGUAGUCC